AAGACUAUAGACCUGCGGAGUACCUGCGGAAGGAUCAUUAUUGAAGCAUAUAUAUAGCAUUUGGAUUAACAGUCUAAAAGCUAUUUAUCUUCUACAAACCCACUGUGAAAAUAAGGAAUUGGAGAAAUCCAUUUUUCUGAAUAUUAUCGGACGGUAAUAGCACUUUAUUGUGUGUAUUAUUCGGUCGAGGACGUGCUGCUUUGUUGUGGUCGUCCGAAUUACCUUUUUUAUUAAAUGCAA
rnacentral:misc_RNA from 1 species